UUCAAUUGUUGCAUUUGGCUUGCAAAUUGCCACUAGCAACAACACAAGGCAGCUAAUCAGAUACAAUGAAUUUAAGACCAAAUCAUCUACCUUGGCUAAGAAUAACAACACCUGUUUCUUUUUUCUUCAUCUCUGAAACAGAGAAUAGAAAAGAAAACUAGUUCAACAAUAUGAUGGUCAAAAUACUAAAACAUGCAGAAGCUAAGCUCGAUCUAAAUCAGUAAAUCUGCAUACAUUUUUCGCUUCUUCAAUAAUCGAUCUAGAUCAUGAAUUGCUUGCUGCUCAGACCUCAGAGAAGAAAAGCCGUUGCUUGUAACCGCCGUCUGCUAGUGACAGGUGAUGAGGUGAGAACCGUGAGGUGAACUAGUGAAGGGCAAGGCAGCCCUUUCUGGUUUUGCCGUUUUGAAGAAAAGGGGAAGAAAGAUUUAGGUUAGGUGAAGUAGUGAACUGUUAAGAGGAAGAAAGAUUUCGGCUUUGGGUGAGGAUCAGGUGACAACAUUUGACUAUUUGGGCAACUUUUCAAAUUUUCUUCCUUGGCUGCUGCUUAAACAGUCCACCUACAAGCUAGAAAAAUUAAUAGGGCCGGCCAAGUCAAAUGAAUGUGAAUUGUUGUUUUGGUGUGCAGUGGUAUUUACUAUUUAGUCUUUGAAUAAGUUUUUAAUAUUUAUUUAUUUAUUUUUAUUUUAGAAACGGGUUAGCGGAUCAACCCGAUUUGGACCCUUUUUUUUUUCGGGUUUAUCGGGUCUGACCCGAAUCCUCAAAAUCUAAACCCAAACCCAUUAAUUUCGUGUUAGAUUCAUGUCGUGUUUUCAGAUCGUGUCGGAAAUUACCACCCCUACUAGUGAAUUUUGACUCUCUUUAUUAUAAUUGUUUCUUUACUUUAACAGUUAAUUAUGUUACUUUUGGAUAUAUUUAACUUGUAAUUUUUAGAUGUUCAUAAAUUUCUUUAUGUUUGACAAUUAAAUUGAUGCCAUGAUUCUUUUGUUCAUUUUGAGUAUAAAUAGGGCAAUUGGCUCCAUUUAGUCACCACUUCAAAAGGGAGGUACCCUAUUAUUAUUUAAAUAUCAAUUACAUGUUCUUAUGUGCUUCUACGUGCUCCUAUGUGUUUAUAUAUUUUUAUAGGGAGAACUGCACCAAUCGUCCCUCACAUAUUACAGAUGUGAAAAUUUAGUCCUUCAGAACAAAAAUGAUCAGUUUUAGUCCCUAACAAACAAAAAAUGAUCACCUUUAGUCCCUUUUCACUUUUCCGAAGAAAUUUUGGCCGGUUUGCAAUGCCCAAUUUUUAAAGGGUAAAAGUGGCAAAUCACCGUUGACCAAUUAUUGGAGGGACCAACUGUACAAAACUUUAGUUAAACAUUCAUAAAAAAACACAAAAACUAACCCACCAUUAUUUGCAAUUCAUCUCAACCCAAAAUCUUAAUACCCAGGAAUUCAACAGUAUAGCAUUGGCGUAUUCCACUGUGCUAGAUUAAAAGAAUAUGCAGGGAAAGCAUAAAGAAAGGAUUGAACUUAAUGAGAUGAAGACGAUCAAAGAAGUAGAUAAAACAAAUUUUAGUGCUGGUGCAAGCACCAUUACCGCAGGCAUACGAUUUACCAAGUUUAGAUAAUGACCUUGUUACCAAGUACCACGUUGGAGCAAGAGAGGAAUAUAUGCCCAAACUAGCCGAAAACAGAAUAUCCCAACAAUAGUUCAUAUUAACAGAGAAGAGUACAAGACCAGUUCAACUAGCAGACAAACACGAGUCCUUCAUUUAAACCAAAUAAACCAAAAGAAAAAAUUGCAAAAAAGCCUUGGUAGCAAAAAAAUAAAAAAUAAAAAUCCCAGAAUCUAUCACUAGUAGGUAAAUUGUGGCCAUGAAACUACAAUGUAGACAAUUGAAGAAGCUACAGUUAAAACUAGAAGCUGGGAUCGGCCGGAUCUUGACUAUAAGAUGGAUUCAAACUCCAGAAGAAGACUUGAGCACGACAGAAUUAGCACAGCAAGUAAUGCACAACAACCACCCGGAAUUAGCGCAAACGGUCGAAACAAGUGAUGAAUACUGAACAAAUCAGCGCAAAGUUGUAGCAAAAGUAUCAGCAUAGCAAUUAAAUCAGAGAACCCACCCGGAAUCGAUAGAGAAAGUCACUAUAGAAAACAGCAUUAAAGCCCAAAAAAAAAAAGGAAGAAACAAAACAACGUACUUACUGGCCUCUUCACGAGUCUCUUCUCCUCUCCCAUUCUUGACCACCCCAUAGUAGCUUUGACUCUGUACAAGAAUAAUAGAGGGAGAGAAGAGAAUAAGAGCAAAGGAAAGAGGCGAAAUAGGUGUGAUUUUGUAUUUUAGUGUGGGCUUUGUAUUGUG
rnacentral:lncRNA from 1 species